CCCCCAAAAUCCAAAAAGGAACACAAUAACAAAUAAAUGCCACGCUCCACUAGGCCGCUCCAGGAGCAUCCUGAAGUCCUCCCUGUCCCACCUGUGGAUCCUCAGGAGAGAUAUCUGCAUCUAAAAAGGUGUAACAAGGAAGGGGUGAGCAUUUCCACAUUGCUCAGUAGGGUGCCUAACACCCAAGGGGUUAAAGGGAUUACUAAGUUCAAAGAAUACGAAAAGAACACUUCAACACCAUAGGAACAAUUCAACAGUGUCAAUCAAACCACAUAGUUUAAUAUAUAUAAUUUUAUACCCAAUUUCACAAUAUUCAACAAUUACAUGAAUGCACAUGAACGUGUGACACACAGUCAUACAAUGCACUAUUGUUCUCGGGCUUUCACCGAAGGAUACGCGUCCGCACCCAAAUACACUCCCCAUUCGGAGUCUUCCCGGGGUAAACUUUUGGGUCUUUCACCCUAGGGAUCUCUCUCCCUUCUUAAUUCGCCUCACACGGGCUUCCACUUCUCAUCUCUAUUUCAUACACUUUUCACAAUCUUCAUGAUUUUAUUUAUUUAUUUAUUUUUCCACAUAACCAUGAUGCAAUGAAUGCCACAAUUCCAAUAUUCCUCAAUAAUUCAACAAUCUCAACAUUCCCCAAUAAUCCAAUCAAACAAUUUCACACAUUACAAUUUCCGAUAAUAUCCCAAAUAAAUAUUAAAAAAAUUGCAUAUCAACAAUCUUGAGAUUUUACCACACUUACAAAAUUUUUCAACCAUUAUAAUAAUUUCUAAUAUCCAAAAUUAACUAACUAUUUACCCUAAAAUUUUCGAAAAUAUUCUAACCAAUGCCUAAAAAUUCACAAAUCAUUAUAUUUAAAAUUUAACCCAAAUUUUGGAAUUUUCCAACCCAUCUAAUAAUUUUUAACCUUUCAAAACAAUUAAUUAUCAAUCAAAAUCAAUUUCCCGAAAUUCCAAAAAUUCCAAACAAACUCCAAAUAUUCUAGAAAAAUUCACACAACAUCCAUAAUUCCUAAUUAACUCAUAGUGACAAUAUUUACAAUUUUUUUUCAAGGGAAAAACAUAAAAAUUUGAGUUUUAGGGUUAGGGUCCCCUACCUCAGAUCUGAAAAUUUGACCGUUAAAAACAAAAUCAGCCACCGCAGGCUUGUUCGUUUAGUCGAAUAGAGUACUUCCUCCGAAUUUGGGCCGAAACAGAAAUCGUUUGGCCGUCCAAACGGCCGAUCAAAAUUCCGGCAAGUGCCCUAAUUUAUGAACAGUGCCCUUUUCUCUCUCUCUCUCCCGCGUGCUGCACUUUUCCAAUUUUCCCCCUUUUCCUUUUUUUUUUUAUUUAUUUUUAAAACAGCCCACUUCACAUGGCAGCCACUUAAGCCCACAUCCAAGCCCAACUCAAUUCCUUUCCUUUUUUACUAACAGCCCACUAGGCUUUUAAAAGCCACUAGCCACUUAAGCCCAACUCCAUUAAAUUUUUUUUUUCUUUUACAACCCAUAUUCAAAGCCCAUUGAAUAUAUUUAUUUUUUCUUUUCUUUUCUUUAUUCUAAUUGUUUUAUUUAAUUUCCAAUUCAUUUUUUUUUCAUUUUAACACACAAUUUUAUUUAUUAACACCAAAUAAAAACUAAUUUUCUCAAUAUUAUUAUUCAUCAAUUUAAUUUAAUUAAUUAAUUUAUUUUUCUUAAUUAAUUCUAAUUAAUCUUAAUUUAUUUAUUUUUCAUUUUUCGUUUUCGUAAAUUUCCAAUUUCUAAAAUCCUAAGAAUUUUCUAUCCUAAGGCUGACAUGACAUAAAAUUUCAACUCGUUUAAUUGACCGACGCAAUAAAAUGAAAUUAACCAAUCCGAAAUUGACACGUGUUCUCCAAACGCUUUUCUUUUUGACUUUUCAACCAUCACAUAAAUUAAGACUUUUCAAACUAAAAUUGCUAACGUGGCAUAAAAUACCCGGUCAUUACAUCCUACCCCCCUAAAAGAAAUUUCGUCCCGAAAUUUAAACUAGCUUACCUUAAAAUUCGUAGAAGAGUUGCGGAUAGUGUCGUCUCAUUUCUUC
rnacentral:lncRNA from 1 species